UGAGGAAUAUUGCACAAUGGAGGAAACUCUGAUGCAGCAACGCCGCGUGGAGGAUGACGCAUUUCGGUGUGUAAACUCCUUUUAAGAGGGAAGAUAAUGACGGUACCUCUUGAAUAAGCACCGGCUAACUCCGUGCCAGCAGCCGCGGUAAUACGGAGGGUGCAAGCGUUACUCGGAAUCACUGGGCGUAAAGGGUGCGUAGGCUGGCUUCUAAGUCAGAUGUGAAAUCCAAUGGCUUAACCAUUGAACUGCAUUUGAAACUGGGAGCCUAGAGUUCAGAAGGGGCAGAUGGAAUUAGUGGUGUAGGGGUAAAAUCCGUAGAUAUCACUAGGAAUAUCAAAAGCGAAGGCGAUCUGCUGGGAUGAUACUGACGCUGAGGCACGAAAGCGUGGGGAGCAAACA
rnacentral:rRNA from 1 species